rnacentral:tRNA from 1 species
AAGAGUGUAGCUCAAUGGUAGAGCGUUUACCUAGCAUGCUUAAGACUCUGGGUUCAAUCCCCAGUGCUAUUA